UAGAAAAAGAAUAAUGAUUUUUUUUAUACCACUCCAGGUGGCGUUCUACAUGUAAACAUGACUCAAUGGACUACGAGACUUUACAAUUAAUAACAAAUCUAAUGACAGACAAGAUCGUUAUUUAAAUGGAACCUCAUUGGAAAUGUUCUGGACUCCGACCUAUUGGGCGUUCCUGAUGCUCGUAAACUGCCAGUAAAGUAGACAGAGAAGCCACAACUAUCA